CCCAUGUCUGUCUUCUGUUUCUCCCUCAUUUGGUCUCUUGUGCUCCUGCCCCUCUGCCGUCCCAUGUCAAGUUCCCUGCCCGGUCUCCGUCUCCUGUCCAGUUUCCAUUCCCUGUCCAGUCCCUCUGUUCCCUCUCUCUCGGCGCCUCUGGUAGUGGCGCCGUUGAGGGGGGGUAAUGUAACACCUCAGCCCAUGUCUGUCUUCUGUUUCUCCCUCAUUUGGUCUCUUGUGCUCCUGCCCCUCUGUUUACCUGUCAUGUUUCCCAGCCAUGUGCUAUUGUUGUAUUUAGUAUCUGUCUCCACCCUAGCUCCGCCCCAGCCCUGCCCUAUAGCAUUAGUGUUCUCACCUGUGUCCUCUUUGUAACCCCGCCCCCUCGUCAUCCAAGCCCAGGUGUUUCUCACUCUCCUCUUGUAUUUAAGCCCCUCUGUUUGAAUGUUCAGUGUCGAGUCUUUUGUAUCUUUGUAUCCUUGCUGUCCGUAUGUAUCCUAGUCUUAGUUUAGUAGUCUGUGUUUCUUAGUUUUUGUUCUAGUUUGAUAUUCUCCUUGCCUUGUUUUUUUUGUAAGUUUUUUGCGUUACCCGUGUUUUGUUUACUGUUUUAUUUUAUCUUGUUUGUUUAAAUAAAAUAUAUUUGC
rnacentral:lncRNA from 1 species